CGUCGGUCCUCCCGCGACGAUACGUUGUAAACCCCGUCAGGCCCGGAAGGGAGCAGCGGUAGCAGCGGAUUCGGGUGCCGGGAUGUGGUUGGCGCCG
rfam:Nitrococcus mobilis Nb-231 scf_1099646003885 genomic scaffold, whole genome shotgun sequence.